rnacentral:rRNA from 1 species
GGAGGGUGCAAGCGUUAAUCGGAAUUACUGGGCGUAAAGCGCGCGUAGGCGGCUAAGUCAGUCGGAUGUGAAAGCCCUGGGCUCAACCUGGGAAUUGCAUUCGAUACUGCUUGACUAGAGUAUGGUAGAGGGAAGUGGAAUUUCCGGUGUAGCGGUGAAAUGCGUAGAUAUCGGAAGGAACACCAGUGGCGAAGGCGACUUCCUGGGCCAAUACUGACGCUGAGGUGCGAAAGCGUGGGGGAGCAAACAGGAUUAGAUACCCUGGUAGUCCACGCCGUAAACGAUGAGAACUAGAUGUUGGGAGGGUUACCUUUCGGUGUCGCAGCUAACGCGUUAAGUUCUCCGCCUGGGGAGUACGCCCGGCAACGGUA